rnacentral:ncRNA from 1 species
AAUAAGUUUUAUUCUAAUUUUUUUUUUAAAUAUUAAAUUAUCAGUACAUGUAAUUUUAUAAGUUUACAUAUUUAUUCUAAAAGAAUCUAUUUUUAAAUACACAGUAUAUAAUAUUAUUAUUUAAUAAUUUUAGAUAUAGUUAUUUUAAUGAGGAAAGACAAAUUUUGUGCCAGCAGUCGCGGUUAUACAAAUUUUUCAAUUUAAAAUAUAUAAAGUUUCAGUUAAUUGAUUUUUUUAUAAAUUUAUAUUAAUUUUGGUGAAAUAAUAUUAAUUAAAAUAUAAUAAUUUAUAUAUGUCUGAGAAACUAUUAAUAUAAACUAGGAUUAGAUACCCUAUUAUUAAUAAUGUAAAUUACAUUAACUUGAUUAUUAAUAGAUAUAAUCUUAAAAUUCAAAGAAUUUGGCGGUAAUAUAUCUUUUCAGAGGAACCUGUUUCAUAAUUGAUAAUCCACAAUAGAUUUAACUUUAUUAAAGUUUGUAUACCGUUGUCAAGAAUGUUCUAUUAAGAUAUUUUCUUAAUUUUUCAUAGAAAAAUGUCAGAUCAAGGUGCAGUUUAAUUUUAAAGUAAAAAAUGGGUUACUAUAAAAAUAUAAGUAGAAUUUUUUUAAUAUAUUAAAAUAAUGAAACUGGAUUUGAUAAUAAAUUAAUUAAAUUAAAUUUUUUGAAAUAAGCUCUAUAUUAUGUACACAUCGCCCGUCACUCUCAUCUAAGAUGAGAUAAGUCGUAACAAAGUAGUUGUACCGGAAGGUGUAUCUAGAUAGA